rnacentral:rRNA from 1 species
GACGAACGCUGGCGGCGUGCUUAACACAUGCAAGUCGAACGGAAAGGCCCUUCGGGGUACUCGAGUGGCGAACGGGUGAGUAACACGUGGGUGAUCUGCCCUGCACUUCGGGAUAAGCCUGGGAAACUGGGUCUAAUACCGGAUAUGACCACAUGAUGCAUGUCGUGUGGUGGAAAGCUUUUGCGGUGUGGGAUGGGCCCGCGGCCUAUCAGCUUGUUGGUGGGGUCACGGCCUACCAAGGUGACGACGGGUAGCCGGCCUGAGAGGGUGACCGGCCACACUGGGACUGAGAUACGGCCAAGACUCCUACGGGAGGCAGCAGUGGGGAAUAUUGCACAAUGGGCGCAAGCCUGAUGCUGCGACGCUGCGUGAGGGACGACCGCCUUCGGGUUGUAAUCCUCUUUCAGCCCAGACGAAGCGCGAGUGACGGUAUGUGCAUAAGAUGGACCGGCCUACUACGUGCCAGCAGCCACGGUAUUACUUUAUGGUCCGAGCGUUGUCCGGAAUUACUUGGUGUAAAGAGCUCGCAGGCGGUUUGUCGCGUUGUUCGUGAAAACUCACAGCUCAACUGUGGGCGUGCGGGCGAUACGGGCAGACUAGAGUACUGCAGGGGAGACUGGAAUUCCUGGUGUAGCGGUGGAAUGCGCAGAUAUCAGGAGGAACACCGGUGGCGAAGGCGGGUCUCUGGGCAGUAACUGACGCUGAGGAGCGAAAGCGUGGGGAGCGAACAGGAUUAGAUACCCUGGUAGUCCACGCCGUAAACGGUGGGUACUAGGUGUGGGUUUCCUUCCUUGGGAUCCGUGCCGUAGCUAACGCAUUAAGUACCCCGCCUGGGGAGUACGGCCGCAAGGCUAAAACUCAAAGAAAUUGACGGGGGCCCGCACAAGCGGCGGAGCAUGUGGAUUAAUUCGAUGCAACGCGAAGAACCUUACCUGGGUUUGACAUGCACAGGACGCUGGUAGAGAUAUCAGUUCCCUUGUGGCCUGUGUGCAGGUGGUGCAUGGCUGUCGUCAGCUCGUGUCGUGAGAUGUUGGGUUAAGUCCCGCAACGAGCGCAACCCCUAUCUUAUGUUGCCAGCGCGUCAUGGCGGGGACUCGUAAGAGACUGCCGGGGUCAACUCGGAGGAAGGUGGGGAUGACGUCAAGUCAUCAUGCCCCUUAUGUCCAGGGCUUCACACAUGCUACAAUGGCCGGUACAAAGGGCUGCGAUGCCGUGAGGUGGAGCGAAUCCUUUAAAGCCGGUCUCAGUUCGGAUCAGGGUCUGCAACUCGACCCCGUGAAGUCGGAGUCGCUAGUAAUCGCAGAUCAGCAACGCUGCGGUGAAUACGUUCCCGGGCCU